AACGUAGGACGCAAGCGUUAUCCGGAAUUACUGGGCGUAAAGCGCGUGUAGGUGGUUGCAUAAGUCACUGUUGAAAGCUCCCGGCUAAACUGGGAGAGGUGCGGUGAGACUGUGCGGCUAGAGUGUGGAAGAGGGGUGCAGAAUUCCGGGUGUAGUGGUGAAAUGCGUAGAGAUCCGGAGGAAUACCAGAGGCGAAGGCGGCACCCUGGUCCAAGACUGACACUGAGACGCGAAAGCAUGGGGAGCGAACGGG
rnacentral:rRNA from 1 species